GUUAUCAUUGCAUAUUAUUUCUUUUCCCAAAUAAGCUUCUAUUAAUUGGAGAUUCCUUAGGUUUGGCAACAUUCCCAAAAUAGGCAUCGGAUCUUCUUUCAGUACGGAGAACCUCAGAACCAUCAUUGUGAUGGAACUUAGAAACAGAUUAGGCAGUUUCUCUAUUCUCCCUUCUAACCACAAUUUCUGGAGCUUUUGACAAGAAUUAACAAAUUCAAGAGAUGGGAAUGAUUCAUCAUAAUUUUUACACACCAAUGUGAGAGUGCUAAGGUUUUUCAAGCUGCUAAUGUUGUUUAGGGAGUAAGAUCUCUUAAUAUAAGCCAUGCCUAAUUCUCUAACAUUGACUAAAUCAACAGGGUCAACGUAUUUCCAUUGAUCACAACCAACACCUUUAAGAACUUGAAGACUAGUAAGUUUGCUUAUAUGCACCAGAGGUUCU
rnacentral:misc_RNA from 1 species